rnacentral:other from 1 species
AACAGCCUGCCCUGCUCGUGAUAGGAGAAAGAUGUUAAUCUACCGAGUUGGAUCUUUCGGGAGCUGGAAUAAAGGGGACGGUGUGCAAGUCUCCCCCCGUGGAGAAAGCCUGAAGUCCUUUUUGAGGCGCCCACUUGUCACAUGGAGAUCUAACGCCUUCGACUACACGGCAGGGUGGGUUUUAG